rnacentral:lncRNA from 1 species
UUUCUCAAAUUUGGGGACAGAGUAGGCAGGGCAUUAGACCAGGGCUAUAACGUUGCUGGGCAAGGACAACAGAGGGCAGAGGGACUAGGAGUGGAGUUUUCCUGCAGGAGAAUGAUGAUGAUCAUGAUGAUGAUGAUGGAUCAUGGCUUCUAAGCUGGCUGCUGCUUGCCUCUUCCUUUUCAUGCUACCAAAGCGGAGUUCAGCACAACAGAAACAGAUGGACAGAAAGUUUCAGAAGACAUGGGAUUUUAAAAACCACCGAUCUGUUAGGAAACAGCCUUGUUUCCUCAUUUCCACGGAAACAUGAAGGUAAGCUUUCUUCAAUCCUGUGGACAAUGGCAACACCUCAGGAGAUGGUGAAGAAAUAAGAUGGUAGGACCUUGAGUCCCUGAAUGACUGUGUGGAGCAGCACUGCCCUUCCAGUUCUGUACACUCACCUCAGGACUACUUCAGGAGGGAAAUACAAACUCUAAUUGAAGGCAUUCUCUUUUCAUUGUCUCUUUGUUACAGCCACUAAAUCUGAAGUCUCAUACAACGUUCAAAGGCACAGGAAUGUGAAACAUCGCGUUAUGCUCAGGGAAAUCCUUGUGAGUGGAGCAUCGAUGAAUGAGUUAAGAAGCAGUGGGAGGUCGGGCCAGAAAUGUUGGAAAGGCAACAAUCAGUGUGGCUUCGUGUACAGGAAACUCAUGGCUGGGUUUGAUUUCUCAUAACAGAGCCACAAAUGGGCUGUGUACAGACAUCUUUGGUCUUAAUAGGCAUGGAAUGAGGUCUGUCCUCUUCUAGUCAUUUCUGCCUCAAAAACAAACAGCUAAGCAGCACUUUAUUGCUGGCAUCUAACAGCCUUGGUCCUGAAUCAUUGGCCAUGCACCAUGCCUCAAAGAAUCUCAGCUUCUCAUUUUGUGAUGCAUCUUCCAGUUGAUACCUCAGCUGGCCACUUGUACUUCCUGUCUGACCCAGCUGUCCUCAGUCAACAUCCAGCCUUGCCCACCCGGCCCUCUGCAGACUCUGCUUUGGUCCAGAGUUAGGGAGCACUCCCCCUGGGUCACCAUAGACCCUGGGCCAUAAUUUGGUGGAGCACUCCAGAAAUGUAAAACCUUUUGGUCAAAUCUGACAGGUAUUCUAUUUCCAGGACAAAAUUAAUGAGAGAAUUUCUUUUUCUAUACUGAACUUUACUGCCAUGUUGUUAAGGAACUUCCAUAUGCUUAACUUUCUACUGUAUUGGCUGUAGUUGACAAUUUGGAAAACAACUUACUUAAAGAAAAUAGGGGCUUUAAAAAUCCUAUUUCUAAUAAUCAAGAAAGAGGCAUUUUUUUCCUUUAACUUUCCUAUUAAACUUUUUAACCACCCCAGUUUCAAGAAUCUUCAACAUACAAUUAGAUCUUUUAUUAUUUGGUGAUGUUGGGUGUCAGCAAUCUGUGCUUCUACAAAUAAAGCUAAAUGUUCAUCACAGCCACAUAUCACUGAUUUCUAAAUCCAGCUUCCUUUCCAGAUUCCCUUUCUACCCUCCUCUCUGCUGCUGUGUGUCCUGGGAGGCUGACCUGCCUACUUAAUAGGCUUCCUGUCCUCUGGCUUCAGGGGGAUUUGGGCAAUGGGAGACCCUGUCAGGAGAUCAGAGGGUGCAAGGAAAGUAAGGUCAGGAGGUUUGUCCCUCGUGGCUCCCUCCCACUGGGUUGCUAUGGGUUGGCUGCAGAGUCAGAUGCCUCACUCUACCAAAGAUGACAGCUCCUCUCAGAUGGCCAUACCAGGUCUCCAUACAGCUCUUCUCUGGGCUUGGGUUCAGGUCCCUGAUCCUCCACACUCCCACUUUUUCUGACAAUGCUGGCUCCCCAGUGCUGCUAGCUAUGAGGAGCUGCGCCUUUUCCUCUUGGUUUCUCUAAUGCUGCCUGCCCCCACCCACCUUUGUAAGUAGCCUCUUUAUUAAAUUGCCUUCAAUUAUCUAGUUUCAGGGUACCAUUUCCAAUUCCUGCUGGAAAACUGACUGGCACAGUGAUUAAGCUAGAAUUGUCUGGAAUGCACCACAGCACAUGGACCCUGGAAGGGAGGUUGCACAUUAGGUGCAUUCACCUGAUCUGAAUGACCUGAUUCUAACCAGUGCCCCAACUACACCUCAUGUAUUUUUCAUUGUUUCUUCAAGACAGAGGACUAGUUACUCCAGCCUUGACAUGAAGAUGGCCCUGGAUUGGAUGUUGCUACAGGCAUAGGGAACAAAUGUCUCCUUUCCCUACAGCACUCUUUCCCCAAAGAACAUUGCUCUCUCUUUCUCCUCGUCUCUGUCUCUUUCUCUCUCUCUCUGUGUACGUGUGUGUGUGUAUGUGUGUACAGCCACAUAUAUGUGUGAAUACAGAAUUCUUUUUUUCUGAACCAACUGGAUAAGUUACCUUAUGGCACUUUACCUUUAAAUACUUCAAUGUGUAUUUCUAAGAAUAGGGAUAUUUUCUUACAUAACUAUAGUGCAGUUAUCAACUCCAUAAAUUUACAUUGAUAUAAUAUUUUCAUCUAAUCUGGCAUCUAUAUUCCAGUUUGUCAGUUGAUCUAAUAAUGUUCUCUACAGCGUUCCUUUCUCUUCUGGUAUAGGAUUCAGUCUACGGUCAGUGAUUGCAUUUAGUUGUCAUACUCUUUUAGUUUUUUUUAUUCCAAAACAUUUUCACAGGCUUUCCUUGUCUUUUAUGACAUUGACUAUUUUUUUAAAAUACUUUUUUUUUAGAUUAGCUUUAGGUUCACAGCAAAAUUGAGAGGAAGGUAUAGAGAUCGCCCAUAUACCACCUUCCCCCUCACAUGCAAAGCGCCCCAUUAUUAACAUCCCCCGCCAGAGUGACAUUGACAUUUUGGAACAGCAGAGUGCCCCCCUCCCACACAUGCACUCUUCUUUUUAAAAAAACAACAGUCUUCAUUUGUGUCUCUCUGGUGUUUCCUGGUGUCUCAGGCUGUGCAUUUUUGGUCAUCAUGCUACAGAGGCAAGGCUGUGUCCUUCAUGGGGCAUCACACCAGGAGGUACAUGUCAUCCAUCCAUCCUUCACUGGUAAAGGUAAUUUUGAUAUCCACUGAAUAACUACUGUUUGUUUUUUCUCCUUUGAACUAAUAAGCAGUCUGUGGGGAGAUGCUUUAAGACCA